ACGACGAUGUCGACUUGAGAGGUUGUGCCCUUGAGGCGUGGCUUCCGGAGCUAACGCGUUAAGUCGACCGCCUGGGGAGUACGGCCGCAAGGUUAAAACUCAAAUGAAUUGACGGGGGCCCGCACAAGCGGUGGAGCAUGUGGUUUAAUUCGAUGCAACGCGAAGAACCUUACCUACUCUUGACAUCCAGAGAACUUAGCAGAGAUGCUUUGGUGCCUUCGGGAACUCUGAGACAGGUGCUGCAUGGCUGUCGUCAGCUCGUGUUGUGAAAUGUUGGGUUAAGUCCCGCAACGAAAAA
rnacentral:rRNA from 1 species